CUGGACUUAAGGCUCAGGGAACAUUGAUAAACAGGGGAGGCAAAAUGAAGGUAGAAAAUUAGAACAAGGUGCAACCAUCUACUGAGAUUAUAUUAAGGACCACAAUGCUGCUGGAAUAUCGGGUAGAAAGCAGAAAGACAGUGAACCAGGAGGCAUUCGCAAGGCAGCAUAUCAUGGGAUACCAUGCAUGACUGAACAUAAAUAUACACAGUGAACUGAGGCUCUAUAUGUGCAUAGAUAAGGAAAAAUAAAUUUAAUCGAGCUAAAAUACAGAAUGGUUGAUAUUAUUGCUACUGUAGCAAUUCACCAAUGUUGG
ensembl:lncRNA